ACUCCUACGGGAGGCAGCAGUGAGGAAUAUUGGUCAAUGGGCGCAAGCCUGAACCAGCCAUCCCGCGUGCAGGAAGACGGCCCUAUGGGUUGUAAACUGCUUUUCCAGGGGGAGAAUUUUUCUGUCGUGACAGGAAUUGACGGUACCCUGGGAAUAAGCAUCGGCUAACUCCGUGCCAGCAGCCGCGGUAAUACGGAGGAUGCGAGCGUUGUCCGGAUUUAUUGGGUUUAAAGGGUGCGUAGGCGGAUUGAUAAGUCAGUGGUGAAAACCUGCAGCUUAACUGUAGACUUGCCGUUGAUACUGUCAGUCUUGAGUGUGGUCAAGGUAGGCGGAAUGUGUAAUGUAGCGGUGAAAUGCUUAGAUAUUACACAGAACACCGAUUGCGAAGGCAGCUUACUGGGCCAUUACUGACGCUGAUGCACGAAAGCGUGGGGAUCGAACAGGAUUAGAUACCCUGGUAGUC
rnacentral:rRNA from 1 species